CCCUGCGCGUUCCGAGACGGGGCGGGGCCGGUGGUCACGCAGGCGCAGCCCCUACCCAGUGAGGCGUGUCACGGGUCGCUCCCCGGGGGUCAGGGUCACCAAAACUCCGGCAGGCCUUUCCCCGGGGCCACUGGGGGCCUGUUACCGGCAGUCGCCGCCCUGCCUUGACUGCCUGGGUGAAUCAGGUGCUAAUCGAAGCCUUGGUCUUGCAGGCUCCCCUGCCUGGGUUUUCUGAGUGCUACCGAUUUAGUCCGGGUGGGGGGAUUCCUACGGCCCUGCCGCACCCACGAAGAGCGAGAAGGCUCACCCGGUGGAGAAGGUGGGCUCGGUGACUCAUCUCUGGGAUGACCUAACCUCCCGACCCUGGCGGAGCAGAUGUCCGGAUGUCAGACGUCAUACCGUGACUUUGGACGGCCAGUGUGCCCCCUUCAGAUUGUAAACUGGCUCUAGUAGUUGCAUGGAACUGUCCAGAAGGAGAGUGGUAUCCAGUUGAGUGCUUGGGGCCACGCCGAGCAGUGUGAGCGCAAGGAUGGCCCCUUCAGUGACCUCAGCGUUUGACAGGCCACUGAUUUCCAGCCUCCAAGCAGUCUCCUGAACAUGAACUUGGUUUCCUUCUUCCACUUAAGAGGUUUGGGGACCGCGGAUCUCAGAGCACUGACAACUGGAGAGUGUGGCGUCAGGGGAAAACAGCAGGAGGAAUGAAUACCCAGGUAGGUAAGCAGGGUAGAGAGAUGUGGUGGAGAGUCUGGGAGGAGGUAAGUGGAGAGACGCCAGCAGGCAUGUAGUUGGGCAUCAGUCAACUACGUUGACAUGUAGAGCUCCCAGCUGGGUUGGCAGAGGCAAGGCCUGCCUAGUUGUGGAGGAAUGGAGCUGUGAGGCAGAUUGUAAGGCAGAGUAUCAGGCAAAGGGGGAAUAAGACAGAGCCCGGGUCCCUAAAGACUGGAGGAAGGUGACACUGCUGUCAGCCUACAGGUUGUAGCACGUAUGCCUGUGUGUUGUCAGUAUACCUAGUUUCCAGAAUUGUAAGCUUCAUGAGGGCAGGGACAAGUUGUCAUCAAUCUUAGUAUCCAGCACCUGAAAUAGCCCCUACUAUGUGGGGAAACCUUCAGAUGUUUGUUGAUUAAGGAGAGAAAACACAACUGGGAGAUUGUUGCAUUUAUCCAGAUGUAAGGUUCACAAAUAAUUCAUCCCUUUAUAUGCCAGAUACUCUGUCAAUGCUGUAUCUACUUAGCCUGCCUUUUCUAGAGCAAUGCAAUUUCCAUGUGGGAUGGCUGUGAUCUAGGAGUGACCAAAGUCCUACUGUGCCUUGUUUUUAAAACUGAUGCAGUAUAUACUGGUGAGAGAGAGACAGAAAGACAGAGAGAGAGAGAGAGAGAGAGAGAGGGGCGGGGGGGGGGGGAGAGAGAGAGAGAGAGAGGGAGGGAGGGAGAUUGAACACAGUGCUUGCAUGUGUUGCUGUGCCCUUCCUCUUGAUUUGCAGCCAUAGCUGUGGUUGGCAGAGCCCAGCGCUCUCUGUAAUUCUGCCCUUGACGUCAUGCUGUUCUUUGAGCUUUGGUUAGGAAAGCAGUCCUGGCUUAUGAACAUCAUCUUGCAGGUUGUCUAUGGUUCCUUUUCUUGUCUGGAAUGGUUUGACUCCACCUCUGCACUCCCCUCUCUCUACUAAGGAAGGUCUACCUGAGACAACAAACAGGUCCUUUAAAACCCUUCAUGGUGAAAAAAACAGAAGCCUUUCAUGGUCGAUGAUCCCAGCCCAAAACAGCUGACAAAAUCUGAACAACUAAUGUAUUUUAGGUUCAGUAGAAUAAUUGCCCUUUCCAUCUGUGUGUGACAAGGCUGGCAUAAGAUACAACCUGGGCCUUACUUUGUAUUCUAGCUCAUCUGGGUGCAAGGAGACACACCAAGUACUUCCCUGAUGAUGGUCAGAAACGUCUGCAGCCCUUGGAGAGCAAAUGCAGCCCCUGCCAGUGUUGUUUGUGCAGUGGGCCCAUAGGGAUGAGAUAUUUUAGGGACGAGAUUUCUUUCUCUGUGUGUCUCUUUCUCUCACUUGAUAACCACUCAAAUGUACACUAAUAGGUGAUGUUAGCUGGUUUCAUGUGUGUAGCUAAGUGAUUCAGACUGUUUUCACGGUCUCCAGAUCUUCCUAAAACCCUAUUCAAAGUGACUGCAUGGCCUGCAAUCUAGUGGAGAGUGGGAUAGCCCCUGAGUGUCCCUGGCCAGAGGAUCCCUCUGCAUUUACCACACCUGCAUGCCCAGCUGCCCUCUGGGAGGCGUACUUCUGCUUCUUCAAAUGCCUUUGGUGGUUGGGGGCAGCCCUGAACUGAAGACACGAGAGAACAUGGCAAGAGAAGCCCCAGCUCUGAGAAACAGCUGGGCAGGGGCAGCUCCCCUUAGAGAGACUGAUCCGCACCUGCGGAAUGUUACUGUAGAGUUCUUUCCUACUGAAGAGCUUCAUGUUGGUUAGUUUUGUUUGUUUUUUUCCCCCUUUUAUGUGAAACAGAAAUUGAACUAGAUCUGAAGACAUUAAAAAGUGUCUGGGUAGGGGGCUGGAUGGAGAAGGGGGUUUCCUCAGAGGAUGGAAUGUCCCAAGAGAAAUUUCACUUGUCGUGAGAGGGGAAGUCCAUUUCAUAUGACGUAGUGGUGUCAUUGUUCAACACUCUGUUGGGCAAUUUGUUAAUAUUUAUCAUUAUUUUGAUUUGUCAUUCAUCAUUAAAACCCUGUGAAUUACAGAAAGACCAUUAUACAUAAAGUGCUACUCAGGCUAAACGAUAGAUCAGGAUCAUUUUCUUUCUUAUACACGACGGGGCGUUUGUGUUUUCUCACUGACCAUCUCUUGGUCUGCAGGAGACCACCUGCCUCCACCCAGACAAGACAAUUUCACUCAGAGCUGCGUAUUGCUGUUCAAAGACUGGCACCUUUCCAGUGCUUGUUGGCCUGCACUUUUUACCAUCUCUGUCAUACCUGUGUGUCCUUUCUAUGCAGGGCUUCAACUCCAGAUCUGCAUAGACAGCCACUAGCACAGGAGCAACUGCUGCAAGGAGGAUCAAGCCACGGUAGCACGAGGUGUAUUCAGUUCACAGGAAGUUAGGGUGUGUUUCUCUUUCACCUCUCAUACAUCCAGUAACCCCUGAAAGAGGGCAGGAAGGUCUGAGGCAAUGCUCGCCCUGAUUCACCAACACACAACUUGCAUACUGUACAGACUAGAGCAAUGUCUCAAUCUAAAAACAUUUAUAUUUGGCUUUAUAAUGGCAUCAGUUUCUCCCCAUUCUGCUUCAAAAUACAAGGGAGUCCUUACUUUACGUCUCUUGUAAUUAAAGGGUCCACGAUGGUGCUUACCCUAUCAAAGGCACAGUUUGUCUUCAAGGUGAUGUGAGAUCUGUCUCUAAACAUAGAAAACUUUGUGACUUUUAAAUGGCAGUCUCCUCUCCUGCUUGUCGAGGUUUUGUAAGGCAGCCCGAGGGCAAGUGCAGUGGCUGCUUAGAGAGAGAGAUAAUUGAUAUAUAAGACAGUGUGGUAUGUGGACGUCUUUCCUCACUGCAGUGCUUCUAAAAAUGUGUAUAAUUUUUUGAAGUAUAGUCAUUUACAAUGUUGUGUUGGUUUCAUGUGUAUAGCUAAGUGAUUCAGUUAUAUAUAUUACACAUUUUCAGAUUAUUUUUCAUUAUAGGUUAUUGCAAGAUAUUGAAUAUAACAAAAAAAUGUACAAUUUAAGGGGAACUUUGCUUUUAAAAUCUCACUAUGUUCGUUGCAGUCGUAACAACCAAGCAAACGGGGCAGGAAGCUCUCUGCUUUGUGGUUAUUUUAUUCAAGCCAUGUAUGAAGUUUCUUUUUGGUAUAAAGGUAUGUGUGUGGUUUUUUUCCUUGAGUAACAGUAACUCUAGGACUUCAGAGUCGGUGUAAGUGUUGAUUCUGAUCUCCAGAGUUACAUAUCUGGCUAUGACAGGGCUGCAGAGGUAAAAUGUCUGCUGUGUGGUAGAGGCAGAACUACCUUGAAACAGACCGUGCUCCCUUCUGGUUGUUAAGUGUAAAGUUUCACUGAGUCAAGAUAAUAACCCCUUAGCCCUCUUUACCUAUUUCCUAAAAAAAUAUAUGGUUUUAGUUUGUAUCCGUCACUUUCUGUUCUUUUUAAUUUUAUGAAAUUUCUUAUUUCUAAAAUGUUUAGUUAUCACAUAAAAAAGAGGGGACAGGGCUUCCCUGGUGGCGCAGUGGUUGAGAGUCCGCCUGCCGAUGCAGGGGACGUGGGUUCGUGCCCCGGUCCGGGAAGAUCCCACGCACCGCGGAGCGGCUGGGCCCGUGAGCCAUGGCCACUGAGCCUGCGCGUCCGGAGCCUGUGCUCCGCAACGGGAGAGGCCACAGCAGUGAGAGGCCCGCGUACUGCAAAAAAAAAAAAAAAAAAAAAAAAAGAGGGGACAGUUUGGUCCCUUCACUCAGUAUAAAGCAUCUGUCAUGAGUGUUACUAUCUUGUCCCAGUUUGCCCAGGAUUUCCCUCAUUUUAGAACUGGGAGUCCUGUGUCCCAGGAAGCCCUUUAAUCCUUGGCAAUCCAGGACAGCUGGUUACCCUAGAUCUAUGAUGUAUUUUGGGGGAAUACACAUUAGCUUUAAAUAAGAAAAAAUACUUAAUUUUUACUUAAGCAGCUUCCUCUUUAUUUACAAAUAGUUCCAGGUGUGAAAUGUUGAAAAGGAGCAGUUGUCUCCCAUUACUGGACAGAGCCAGGCUGUCUUCAGCUGCUUCUAUGUGGCAGGAACUGGUCUCUCCUUAACAGUUAUAGCAGCUGCUACUUUCCAGAAGGGAAGUAUUGGCUAAAGAAAAGUCAAUGUCAGUAUUUCUCCCUGAAGAAAAAUGCAUAUUAAUCUUCCCCAAAACAAAUCAAUAGUUGUGUUAGGUUCAAUUUGAAUAUUUUCCCUAGAAACUCUCUCAGAGUAACCAUGAGAGCCUAAUAGAUUUUCCUUAUAGUAUUAAAUUGACGAGAUCACAAUGCUUGAAAGAGUACUUAUUUCAAGGAAAAUGGACAGUUUCCUAAAAGCAGUUAGAUUUUCACAAAGCGGAGGGUUUGGGUACAUAAAUGCUUUAAUUGAGCAUCUUCUUUCUCCUCGUAACUCCCCCUCACUGCCUACUGUCCCUCAGCCUAGUUACCGCUCCCCAGGUAACACGGCCUUAGACAUCCUUCUGCAACCCCAUUUCCAAGCAUUAAGGUGACAUUUUUAUUCAUUCGACCAACAUUUAUUGAAAACCUACUAGGUUCUAGGCAUUGUGCCAGAAGCUGAGGAUACAGAAAUAAAAACAAAGCUGCCCCACACUCAACUCACAUUUAUUUAUAAGUUCAUUGGAAAUAGGGACUUACACAUAAAUGAUUUCCAUGGAAUAUGGUAUAUGCUGAGUUUGUAAAACUUGCUUUUUGGAACUCAGAGGAGGGCACUCAGAACUGCCUUAGCUGGCUCUUCUUUUCUAUAAAAAUAAGCAUCCUAUCUUAAGAAGGAAGAGGCGAUUAGGACACAGACACACACAGAGGGAUAGACCUUAUGAGGACACAGGGAGAAGACCGCUGCCUACACACCAAGGAGAGAGGCCUCAGGAGGAACCAACCCUGCUGACACCUUGGUCUUGGACUUCCAGCUUCCAGAACUGUGAGACAAUAAUGUUCUGCUGUUAAAAGAAAUAAGAGAUGUUGUCUGUCCAGUCUGUGGUACUUUGCUAUGGCAGCAGUUCUAGAAAACUAAUACAGAGAAGGAAGCAGCCACUGCCAGAACCGUGACUUUGUAGGGAAGCCAUGGGGAAGAGAUGCCCUAGCCUCUCUGUCCAACUGCUCUCUAUCUCACUUAAAAAAUAAACCUACCUGGAGGCCGGCAAAGGAGCCCAAGUGAUUUGCUCCAUAUGUACACUCUCCCAGGGCACUUGCAGGACAGAGAAGGGUAAGAAUGGAUUCGGGGGGACAAAUAGAAAAUGAUCAGCAAAGACAUCUCAUCAAGUUUUGAAAAGAAGGGCUCCAUGGAGGAGGUGGCUCUUGAACUGGGUGUGGAAUAAUAAAUGAGUUAAUAUGAAUAAAGUACUUAGAAGUUUACUUGUACCGUAAUAUGAGUUGUGUGUGGUGUUGUUUUUACCACCAUACCCUUUCUAUUUAUUAUUUCUGGUUCAUCCUGGCAGUCCAGGAAGGUUGGUAUUAUUUUCCCCUUUUUACAGAUAAGAGAAUUAGGCUCAAAGAGGUUGAGCAAAUGGCUAAGCCAGUUUCCAUACUCAAGCCUGCCUAGCUCAGAAGCCACCAGUCCAGGUUGCAUCCCUGAUAGCCAUCAGCCAGAUGAUGAAACCUGAAUAAAGGACAAUUCCGAAAGAGGAUGUUACAGACACAGGGGCAUGUUGGCAAGAGAGACUGUGGCACCUUUGGGGACCUGAGGUGGUUUACCAAGGUGGCAACAUGGAAUGCAAAGUGGAGAGAGGCAAGACAUCAGUGGAAGGGGGGCAGAGCCAGUUUAAAGACAUCUUCAUAUGCCAUGCCAGGAAGUUUAGGCUCCCUCUCAGAGAUGUUGGGGACCCUUUGCAGGAUUUGGAUUUUAGAAUGAGCAUCUUGAGGGCUUUUGGGAGUAUGUCAUAUUUUAGUAGGUGAGACUGAAGAUGGGGAGAUCACUUAGAAGGCCAUUGCCUGGUGAAAAAUAAUGAGAGCCCUAAAUAAAGAUUGGCAGAGGGGAUGGAGAGAAGGGCUGGUUGGGGAAAAGGGAAGAGGGAGAAUUCGUAGGACUUGAAGAUUAAUUGGAUACAGGAGAUUGGAAAGGGGGAAGAGCAAAGGGUUACCCCAGGUUUCUAGCUUUGGUAACUAUAUAGAUGGUAGCGCCAUUCACAAGGGUGGGAGCACAGGAGGAGGAACAGGGUUAGUGGGAGAGCGAUGAUUAUUGUCUGGACAUGCCGAGUUUCAGAUACCUCUGGGUUAUCCAGGUAGAAAAUACAGAGCUAAAUUACUCCAGAAAAUAUAGAAAACCCAAUGAUGACUUAAAUUGUGUUGUAUCUCACAGCAUAAAUCACAAUAUCUUGAUUGCUCUAAAAAGUGACUAUUUUUCCUACCUUUGUUCUGAGAGAUAAGCAAAUACCACCAUGAUUAGAUCAUAGUUAUAAGCGUGUUAUUUCAGUAAUUUUUUAAACAAGCAAUUAUUGUUCCAAUUUUACAUAAAGUACUAAAAUAGGUAUUGGGAGAUAGGAAGGUAAUAGUGAAAGAUGAAUAAAAUAGAGUCUUCCAGGAAUAACUGAUGGAGUUACAAAAAUGAAACAAAAGAGUGACCCAAAGAGGAUGGAAUUAAAUAUGGACAUGGUAUGCCUCAAGUUUUCCAACUGAACACUAGCGUGAUGACUAAGCUACUCAUAAAUCACAUUCCAGUUAUGUUGUCAGCAAUAGAAAAUAAUAAUAGGAAUAAGGGCCAGAUAAAGGCAACAACUCUUAAACCCCACUGGUAGAGCAAAUUAUACAUGUCACGCAGGAGGCCUCUUUCUAGUGUAUCAUUUCAAAUUAGCUCUAAUAGGCAACAAAUAAUGAGGAAGUAAACUAUGCAAUGCCGAAACUUGUAAAGAUAAUAAAGGUGCCUGUGUAUUCUAAAUAAGAGACUCCAAAGAUGGUUUUAUGAGAUCUUAAUUCGAAAUAAUUUAUUUUAUCAUCCACCUCAACUUCAGUGGCUUGGUAGUUCUGACAACCCUAAUUAUGGUCAGCAGGUAUUCCUCAGGUGCCAAGUAGUAUAAAAGAGAGACAGCCUCCUUGAGAAAUGGCUCUCAGUCCUCCUAAAAGUCCCUUGCAAAAGCAUCUGUUUGGUUAUGCUGUUGGUCAAACAAAUGCCCCUAAUAUAUAUUUGGAUAAUGAGAAAGAUAAGGCACCAUGCAUUUUCUUUAUUGCAAUAAAAAAACUAUGUACUUUGUUAUAUCCUAACUGAAAUUUCACUUAAGACAUAAAUAGAAAGGCAAGGAAUUCUAAACAUACAGAAGACAAGGAAUAUUGCUCCUACUCUAACAAGUAAAAACUAGAUAAACUAUGUAAUUAUAACUUUUCUUGAACCCAUCAGAGACCUGAGGUCACAGGUAAACUAAAUAGCCCCAAGUCCAAGGAAACGUAGGCCCUUUCAAGGAUAGAGAGGAUAUAAGCACUUGCCCACCCAUGGUAGAAGAUAGCAGGAAAAGAUACCGGGCACCAUACAAGUAGGUAAGAGCUAAAAUUUUGGUAACAGAUUGCUAGAGGCCAAGUACGAGCUAGUGUGAAAGGCCCCCAGGUGACAUGAGGAGAGUCUGUGCCCACUCACAGCCUCUUCCCCACAGACUUUCAUCAGAUCCCUAUCGGUGCGACUGGGGCUGGGGGUAGGAGGUGGGAGGCAGCCCCUGUGGGGUGCAGACGUGGACGAGGGGAGUGCUGCCAGCCCAGGGAAAUCCGAGUCCCAUCCAGGCCUGUCUCCCCUUUGCGACUAAAGCUCUACGUCCCUGGGAGAGGGACAUGCACAAAGGAGCAUGUGUUGUGUCUCAGGAAAGAUUAAAAAUAAAAACGAUCUAUCUCUGGGGGAGGGACAGAAAACAGUCCUGGCCCAGGAUCCCAUACCAGUACCUUGGAGGGCUCCUGCCACUGGGAGAGGGCUGGGAACUGCAACACUAGGGUUACCAGGUUUAGCAUGUAAAGCUAGAGCUAAAUCUGAAUUUCACAAAAACAAUAAAAAAAAUUCUGUGUAAAUAUGUCACCUCCCAGUGGUAGACGGCCGUUGCUUGUUCCUUGGCGCUCACUAUCUUUGUGAUGGGAAAUGGGAGAAUGCUUUGUUGUCCUGGUCUAGCUGCAGUCUCAGAUGGGUCCUGUGUGCCUGGGACUCCAGGAUUGGGCUUCCCCUCUUCCCAUGGAGUCAAAUUAUUCUGCAUAUCUUUGGCAGCUCAAGUAUGGGUAGGGUUAUCAGAAAAAAAAAAUUAAAUUUGAAUUUUACAUACACAACAAAUAAUUUUUUAGCAUUAGUAUGGAUUAUUAAUGCUUACGGUUCUAUGAUUCCCAUUUUAACUGACCAAAAACUAAAGUUAAAAUAGGGUAACUCCCCAUAAUCAUGUGCUGAGUAAGUGGAAAGUGUGUGUCUUCAGGGCACCAGCACUUAACUGCUACUCCAAUGUGAAUUCUUUCUGUACUGUGCACACUUACUUACAACACUGUAUUUCAUUAGAGAUAAUUACAGAGCAACCCCACAUGGAUUUCUAACAACCAUUUUUUAAAUAAUAGAAUUGUUUUUAAUUUUUAAUAAUAUUAAAAAUUUUUCCAUACGUUGAGCUGAUUAAUAGAAUCACAGAUUAGAACUUAUUGUUUUUUAUUUCACACACUUACAUUUCUAGACAUCUACUGUGAUUCUAAUUCUGCUAAAAGAAGAACAUCUAAAUAUUUGUCUCUGCUUGGCUGAGUUUGUUUAAGUUGGUGGAGGAAGCAACAAAGAGGAACCACAACUCCAGAUAUAAUUCUGAAGAAUAACAGAGAGAAAUAUAGAAAUUUCCAUGUCUUCUUAGAGUAUAGACUAACAAAAAAAACUAAACCAAAACAAAUAAAUGAUAAUACUGGGCACAGCCAGGCACAUGUCUGAGAGUCUCGGGAAAGCAUAGUUUCCUUUUAAUGCAGAGAAGAUACGGUUUUAAUUUUAUAAAACUGAAUUCUUGAAUUACAAAAAUUCUUCUAGUUCUAGGGGAGAGAAAUUGAAUUUCCUGAGAUAAUAUUAUGUUAAUUAAUUUUCUCUUGCUGCUUUAACAAUUUACCACAAACUUGGUGGCUUAAAAUGAAACAAAUUUAUUAGCUUACAGUUUUGCAGGUUAGAGGUCUGACAUGGGUUUCACUGGGCUAAAAUCCAGGUGUUGGCAGGCUGCCUUCCUUUCUGGAGGUUGUAGAGGAGAAUCUGGUUCCUCCUCAUUGGUCUGCUGGCAGAAUUCAGUCCCUGCAGUUGUAAAACCUAUGUCCAUGUUUUCUUGCUGGCUGUAAGUUGAGGGCCAUUUCCAGCUUCUGGAGGUCACUAGAUUGCUUUCUCCAUCUUCAAAGCAUUAGCAGCCUGAAUCCUUUGCACAUUGCGUUUCUCUGAACCACUCUUUUUCAUUGUCUUCCACUUUUAAGGAUUCACAUGUUUAGACUGGGCCAGGAUAAUAUCUCUGUCUCAAGGUUCCUAACCUUAAUCACAUCUGCAAAGUGCAUUUUGCCAUGUAGGGCGGCAGUGUAUUCACAGGGGAUUAGGAUAUGGACAUCUUUGAUGUAUUCUGCCUGCCGUACAUAGAGAUUAGUUAAGAAUUUUGAAGCUGCAAAUAGAAAACCUGACUGCUAGUGAGUUAAAGCAAUAGGAAUUAUUUUUCUGUGAUAGAAUGGGGUCUGGAGGCAGUGAGAUUAGGUUUGGGUGCCCAUCAGGGUCUGGCCUCUUUCACCUUUCUACUCUACCAUCUUUAGUGUUUUGACUUGCUGAUGUUGCUGCAGUCCCAGGCACUAUGUCUGCUUUCAAGGUUAGAAAACAGAGGGAGAGCUAUUACAGAAUCUCUCCUUCAAACUUUCUUGUGUAUCUUUGAUCAGAACAGGGUCAUGUGGCCACACUUGUUGCAAGAAAGUAUAAAAAACAGAGUACCUGGCAAAGAUGAACUAUAUUGUCUGGAAAGUCUUAGAGCAAUUAUAAGUCAUCUCAUGAGAGACCAUCUUGGGAAAUAUCUGGGGAUUUUAAGCAAAGAAGAAUAGGGGAGGGUUCUUGAGUAGGCAGUGAACAAUGAGUUAUCUCACAGAAUCAGAUGAAAAAUAAAGCAACCAAUAGUCAGAAGAGAAAUUCCCAGCAUGUCUCCAAGGAUCUGAGCAGGAGGGAUUUGUGAAGCUUUUCCCUAGAUAAUACAAUAAUGUGACUAUCCUCCAACAACUCCUAAUAUAAAUCUGCAUUUUUACUUCUAGACUUUAAAUCCCUGGGAGAAAAAAAAUUUGAUUGGCCCAGGUUAGGUGAGAUGCCCACCCCUGGGUUUAUCAAUUAUGACCCUGAAGUCAGGGACAUUUAGUGCAGACAAGGCCUAACCCUGGACAUCUAACCCUGUGUAUUGAAGACUAUUCUAGAGCAAUGGUAAUUAUUAGAUGAAGCUUUAGCAAAGUGAUGUCUGUGAACGCUAAAAAAGUAAAUAUGGAUGAAACUUAAAAAUUGAAAUUCUGACUAGAUGACUGGGUCAUGAUUUUAUUAUGUGAUAAUGAUGGCCAACACAGUGUAGUGGCAGAAGUUUUUCCAAAUAACAUUGAAAUAUUAUUUGGUGAGAACUAACGUUAAUGGGCUAAUGCAAGAAAUGUCUAGUGAUGAUUCUACCAAAAAUAUGAAGCAUAUGAAUGAGAUUUUACACUAAUACUUCAGAAGUGGUAACCUUUACUGUUGCCUGUUUAUCCCUCUCAAAACUAUUUACCUAUAUGGAGGAUUCUAUUGACAUCAUACUCAAUGAUGAAAAGCUGAAAGCUUUUUCUCUAAGCUCAGGAACAAGACAAGGAUGCCUCCUCUUGCCACUUUUAUUUAACAUAGUACUGGAAUUCCUAGCCAGAGCAACUAGGAAGAAAAAGAAAUAAAUGACAUCCAAAUCAAAAAGAAAGAAGGAAAACUCUCUAUCUGCAGAUGACAUAAUAUUAUACAUAGAAAAUCCUAAAAGACUCUACCAACACUGUUAGAACUAAUAAACAAGUAAAGUUGCAAGAUACAAAAUCAAUAUACAAAAGUCAGUUGUAUUUCUAUACACUAGCAAUGAACUAUCAGAAAGAGAAAUGAAGAAAAGAAUGCCAUUUACAAUUGUAUCAAAAAAAAUUAAGUACGUAGGAAUAAAUUUAACCAGGAAGGUGAAAGACCUAUAUUCUGAAAACUAUAAGACAUGGAGAAAAGAAAUUGAAGAUGACACAAAUAAAUGGAAAGGUAUUCUGUGCUCAUAAAUUGGAAGAAUUAAUAUUGUUAAAAUGUCCAUGCUACUCAAAGCAAUCUACAGAUUUAUUGUCAUCCCUAUCAAAAUUUCAAUGGCAUUUUUUUCCUAAAGAAAUAGAAUAAACAAUUCUAGAAGUUGUAGAGAACCACAGAAGACCCCAAAUAGCCAAAGCCAUCUUGAGAAAGAAGAACAAAGCUGGAGGCAUCACACUUCCUGAUUUCAAACUAUAUUACAAAGCUAUGGCUUUGUAAUAUAGUAUAGACUUGGCAUAAAAACAGAAACAUAGAUCGAGGGAGCAGAAUAUAGAGCCAAAAAAGAAACCCACGCACAUAUAGUCAAUUCAUUUAUGAUGAAAGAGUCAAGAAUAUACAAUGGGGAAAAGAUGGUCUCUUCAAUAAGUGGUGUUUGGAGAACUGGACAGCCACAUGCCAAAGGAUGAAACUGGACCCUUAUCUUAUACCAUACACACAAAAAACCAGCUCAAAAUGGAUUAAAGACUUGAACAUAAGAACUGAAACCAUACAACUCCUAGGAGAAAACAUUGAGGGUAAACUCUUUGACAUAGACCUUGACAAAGAUUUUUGGUUUUGAUACCAAAAACAAAGGCAAUGAAAGCAAAAAUAAACAAAUGCGACUGUAUCAAACUAAAAAGCUUCUGCACAGCAAAGGAAAACAUCACCUAAAUAAAAAGGUAACAUACAGAAUGGGAUAAAAUAUUUGCAAAUCAUAUAUCUGAUAAGGGGUUAAUAUCCAAAUAUAUAAAACUCAUACACCUCAACAGCAUAAAAACAAACAAUCUGAACUACAAAGUGGGCAAAAGAACUAGACAUUUUUCCAAAGAAGACAUACAGAUGGCCAAUAAGUACAUGAAAAAAUGCUUAACAUCACUAAUCAUCAGAUAAAUGCAAAUCAAAACCACAAUGAUUUAUCAUCUCACACAUAUUAGUAUGACUGUCAUCAAAAAGAUAAGAGAUAACAAAUGCAGGCAAGGAUGUGAAGAAAAAGAAUCCCUGUUCACCAUCGGUGGGAAUGUAAACUGAUACACCACAGUGGAAAAUGGUGUGGAGGUUCCUCAAAGAGUUAAAAAUAAGACUACCAUAUGACCCAGCAAUUCCACUACUUGGUAUAUGUCUGAAGGAAAUGAAAUCACUAUAUCACUAUCUCAAAAAGAUGGCUGCGCCCAAUAUUCAGUGCAGCAUUUUCAAAAUAGCCUAGGCUGGGAACCAAUCUGAGUGUCCAUUAAUGGAUCAAUGAAUAAAGAAAAUGUGAUUUUAUAGAUCUAUAUCUAUAAUGGAAUAUUAUUUAGCCAUUAAAAAUCCUGCCAUUUGUGACAACAUGAAUGGAACUUGAGGGCAUUACGCUAAGUGAAAUAAGUCACGCAGAGAAAGACAAAUACGGUAUGAUCUCACUUAUAUAUGGGGAAGAAAAAAAACCUCAGAGAAAAUGAGAAUAGAUUGGUAUUUGCCAGAAGCAAUGGGUGGGUGUGGGAGAAGUGGGUAAGGGUUGUCAAAAGAUACAAACUUUCAGUUAUGAGAUAAAUAAGUUCUGCAGAUAUAAUAAUGAACAGCAUGGUGACUAUAGUUAAUAAUACUAUACUGUAUAUUUCAAAGUUGCUAAGAUAGUCGAUCUUAAUAGUUCUUAUCACAGAAGAAAACAUUUGUAACUAUGUGAGGUGAUAUGUGUUAGCUAAGCUUAUUGUGAUGUCAUUUCACAAUAUAUACAUAUAUCAGAUUAUUAUGUUGUACACCUAAAACUAAUACAAUGUUAUGUGUUAAUUAUAUCUCAAUAAAACAAACAAAAAAGAAUUAGAGAAAUGGAGGAGGAGCUGGUAUUAUAGGAACCACAAAAAUAAAAGAGGUUCUUACAAAAGGGAAAUUCUUGAUAUAUUUUUCCAUUUAAAUAAAACACACAGUACAGCCAAGGAUAUCAAGGGGAAACGCUGGAAAGAGAAAAAAAAAAAAACACCUACAGAGAUUAAAUUUUUGUAGCAUUUGUUAACUUAUCACACAGUGGAAAGAACAUGGGCUAUGGCAUCAAACAGAGUUCAGUUUAAAUCUUGCUACACUCAACAGACAUGUAACCCUGGGCAAGUUGCUAAAGUGAGUCAGUCAUCUCAGGCAUAGUGUGUGACAAGAUACCACCUAGCACAGUUAUGAGAACUAAGUGACAUGUAUGAAAGUGGCUAGUGUAGCUAGGAGCCCAGGAAUCCACUGGUUACCUGCCUUUGGUUCAGCAGGUCUGAGCCUAGACCUGGGUAUCUGUGUUUUAAAAAGUUCCCUGGGUGAUUAUACUGCAUGGGCAGGGUAAAGAAACAUGUAAACAACUCAGUGUCUUGCCCAUGGUAAGUACUUGGUGGUCGUUUUUAUGUACAGAAUAUAAGGAUUCUAUCAUUUUUAUUAAGGCUGUUGUGACUUUUUAAAUUAAGCACAAUGACAAGACCUGUCCUAAAUAAGCAGCUCAGAUUUUCUUUUUUCUGCCAUGAGAGAGAGAAAGAGGGAUGGAGGGAAGGAUGAAGGAAGGCAGGGAGAGAGAGAGAAAACUAAAAUGAACAAAGGAAAAAUAUAAAUGCUACUUAUGGUCUAAAUCUGUACCACGGCAUUUAAAGAUUAAACAUGAGAGAUGUCAAAGGUCUUUAACAUAUGGUCAUGUAUAAUUUUGCUGAGGCAAAUUUGAAUCAUUUUUGCUUUAUAAUGUGUAGUACCAAGUCACUUAGUUGAUAUGUGUGCUUACCCACUGAUCAGUAUCCAAAUUUCGUUUAGGGUGUGUUGUACUCUAUUCAUGACCAUACAUAGAUAAAAGCUUUGUUCUUUGUGAGAUGGCCUCAGAAGAAAUUCAACUGCUAUGACAGAAAGAUAUUUGCAAACUUGGGGAAAUGGAAAAGAUCUCAAAAUAAUCUAGCAAAUGUCAAAGAUUUAUUACACUAUACAUUUUUUAACAUAAGGGAAAGGUCUCAUUCCAUUCACAAAUAGUUUUCAGCAAUAAAAUGUUACAUGUAAAGGUCAGAAUGCAUGGCAUAUGAUGCUCCCAAUAUUUCAAAAGUUUGUCUGCCUUUCUUCAUAGGGAAAAAAACAAAACAAAACAGCAGACCUUGGGGAAUGGAGAGAGUCUAAUUUCCAGAGUCACCGUAUUAUAAGAUUCAAAUGUCCAGGUUUCAAUAACAACAACAAAUUAUAAGGCAUACAAAGUAACAGGAAAGUAUGACCCAUGCAGAGAGACAAAAUAUAUGGAUAGAAGUGAUUCCUGAGGAAGACCAAAUGCCAGACUUGACAAAGUCUUUAAAGCAACUUUCUUAAAGAUGCUCAAAGAGCUAAAGGAAGACAUGGACAAAAUCAGGAAAACAAUGUAUGGACAGAAUAGAAAUAUCAAUAAAGACACAGAAAGCAUAAAAGGAACAAAAACAAAUCCUGAAAUUGAAAAGUAUAACUGAAAUGAAAAAUUCACUAAAGGGAUUCAAAAGCAUAUUUGAGCAGGCAGAAGAAAGAAUCAAUAGACUUGAAGAAAGGACAAUUGAAAUGAUCAAGUCUAAGGAACAGAAAGGAAAAAGAUUGAAGAAAUAGGAAUAGAGCCUAAGGGAUCUGUGGAACAUCAUCAAGAAAAGGAACAUAUGCAUUGUCCCAGAAGAGGAGAGAGAGAAAGGUGCAGAGAGAUAUUUGAAGAAAUAAUGACUAAAAACUUCCCAAAUUUGAAGCAAGGUAUGAAUCUUCAAAUCCAAGAAGCUCAAUGGAUUCCAAGCAGGAUAAAUUCAAAGACAUUCACACUGAGGUAAGUUACACUCAAACUGUUGAAAAACAAAGACAAAGAGUAUCUUGAAAGUAGAAGAGAGAAGUUAUUCAUCAUACACAUGACACCCAGAAGCCUUGGAGACCAGAAGGCAUUGGGUUGAGAUAAUUAAAGUGCUGAGAGAAGAAAACUGUCAACUGAGAAUUCUACAUUUAGCAAAACUCUUCUUCAAAAAUAAAGGAGAAAUUAAGAAAUUUUCAGAUAAGCAAAAGCUGAGGGGAAUCAUUAGCAUCUGACCUUCUUGCAAGAAAUGCUAAAGGCAAUUCUUCAGGUUGAAAUAAAAGGAUACUAGACAGGAACUCAGAGCCAUUUGAAGAAAUAAAUGUUUCCAGUAAAAGUAAAUACAUAGACAUUAUAAAAACUAGUAUUAUUGUAUUUUUGGUUUGUAACUCUUCUUUAUUUUCUACAAGUUUUAAAAGACAAAUGCAUAGAAAAACAAUUACUAGUCAUUGUUUUAGGAAACACAGUGUGCAAGUUUGUAAUUUGUGACAUCAGUAACUGACAGAGGGUGGGGACAGAGCUGUAUAGGAGCAGAGAUUUUGUAUGGUAUUAAACUCAAACUGGUAAACCUCAAAUUAGAAUGUUAUAACUUUAAGAUAUUAAAUAUAACCCCCAUGGUAACCACAAAGAAAAUAGCUAUAGUACGUACAUAGAAGGAAAUGAGAAGAGAAGGAAAAUGUUUCAAUUAAACACAAAAUAAUACAGUAAUGCAGGAAAUGAAGGACAAAGAAGCAAUAAACCCUACAGAAAACAAAUAGCAAAAUGACAGAAGCACGCCCCUCCUUCUCAGUAGUUUAAAUGUAAAUGGAUUAAACUCUCAAAUGAAAAGACAGAGAUUUGCAGAAUGAAUUUUUAAAAAUAAUCCAACUAUAUGCUGCCUACAAGGAAUUCACUUUAGAUUCAAAGACACAAAAGGAUUUAGGGUGAAAAGAUGGAAAAAGGUAUUCUAUGUAAAUAAUAACCAAGAGAGUUGGGGAGGUUAUACUAAUAUCAUACAAAAUAGACUUUAAAAAGCCUGUAAGAGAUAAAAAACUCAUUAUAUAUUAAUAAGUUUCAGUACAGCAAGAUUAUAUAACCAUUAUAAAUAUUUACACAGCUAAUAACAGGCCCUCAAAAUAUAUAUGAAGCAAAAACUGACAGAAUUUAAGGGAGAUAUAGACAGUUCUACAAUAAUAGUUGGAGAUUUCAUUACCCCACCUUCAAUAAUGAAUAGAACAGGGACUUCCCUGGUGGUGCAGUGGAUAAGAAUCUGCCUGCCAAAUUCAGGGGACACAGGUUCAAGCCCUGGUCCAGGAAGAUCCCACAUGCCACGAAGCAACUAAGCCUGUGCACCACAACUACUGAGCCUGCUCUCUAGAACCUGUGAGCCACAAGUACUGAGCCUGUGUGCAACAACUACUGAAGCCCGCAUCCUCUAGAGUCUGUGCUCUGCAACAAGAGAAGCCACCACAAUGAGAAGCCUGUGCACUGCAAUGAAGAGUAGCCCCUGCUCGCUGCAACUAGAGGAAGCCUGCAUGUAGCAACAAAGACCCAAUGCAACCAAUAAAUAAAUAAAUAAAUUUAUUUAAAAAAAAUAAUGGAUAGAACAACCAGACAGAAAUAAGUAAGAAAACAGAAGACUUGAACAACACAACAAACCAGCUAGAUCUAACAAACAUACACAGAACACUUCAUCCAGCAACAACAGCAUACACAUUCUUCUCAAGUGCACAUGGCAUUCUGUAGGAUAGACCAUACAUUAGGCCACAAAACUAGUCUCAAUAGAUUUUUAAAAAUUGAUAUCACACAAAAUACCUUUUCUAAACACAAGUUGAAGUUAGAAAUUAAUAACUGAAAGGAAACAAAAAAAAUUCUGUCUAUCAACAGAUGAAUGGGUAAAGAAGAUGUGGCACAUAUAUACAAUGGAAUAUUACUCAGCCAUAAAAAGAAACAAAAUUGUUAUUUGUAGUGAGGUGAUGGACCUAGGGACUGUCAUACAGAGUGAAGUAAGUCAGAAAGAGAAAAACAAAUACUGUAUGCUAACACAUAUAUAUGGAAUCUAAAAAAAAAGUGGUUCUGAAGAACCUAGGGGCAGGACAGGAAUAAAGGUGCAGAUGUAGAGAAUGGACUUGAGGACAUGGGGAGGGGGAAGGGUAAGCUGGGAUGAAGUGAGAGAGUGGCAUGGACAUAUAUACACUAUAAAAUGUAAAAUAGAUAGCUAGUGGGAAGCAACCGCAUAGCACAGGGAGAUCAGCUCGAUGCUUUGUGUCCACCUAGAGGGGUGGGAUAGGGAGGGUGGGAGGGAGACACAAGAGGGAAGAGAUAUGGGGAUAUAUGUAUACGUAUAGCUGAUUCACUUUGUUAUACAGCAGAAACUAACACACUCUUGUAAAGCAAUUAUACUCCAAUAAAGAUGUUAAAAAAAUUUACAAAUAUGUAAUCAUGUAAAAGUAUAGUCUUUAACAAGGAAAGAUUUCUUCUUUCUUGUUCAAAGAAGAAAUCACAAAAGAAAUUAGAAAAUACUUAGAAUUGAAUUAAAAAUGAAAAUACAACAUACCAAAAUUGAUAAGAUGCAGUGAAAGCACUGUAAAGAGGAAAAUUUAUAACUGUAAAUGCUUACUUUAAAAAAGAAGAAAGAUAUCAAAUCAACAAUCUAAAUUUAUCCUUUAAGGAACUAGAAAAAGAAGAACAAACUAACCUCAAAGCUAGCAGAAGGAAGGAAAUAAUAAAGAUUAGAACAGAGAUAAAUAAAAUAGAGGGUAGAAAAACAAUGGAGAAAUUCAAUGAAGCCAGAAGUUGGUUCUUCAAAGAAAUCAACAAAAUUGACAUACCUUUAGCUAGCUGGACUGAGGCAAAAAGAAAGACUCAGAUUACUAAAGUCAGAAAUGAAAGUGGGGAAAUUACUACGAAAUCUACAGAUAUACAAAAGAUUAUAAGAGGGCACAUAAACAACUAUAUACCAACAGAUUGGAUAACCUAAAUGAAAUGGACAAAAUCCUAGAGACACAAAACCCACCAAGACUGAAUCAUGAAGAAAUAGAAAAUCUGAAUAGAUCUGUAACUAGUGAGGAGAUUGAAUCAGUAAUCAAAAACCUCCCUACAGAGAAGAGCCCAGGAGCAGAUGGCAUCACUGGUACAUUCUACCACACACUUAAAGAAGAAAUAACAGCAAUCCUUCUCAAACUCAAAAAAUUCAAGAGAAGGGAAUACUUCUAAACUUAUUCUAAGAGGCUAGCAAUGCCCUGAUACCAAAGCCACAGAACGCUACAAGAAAAGAAAACUACAGAUGAAUGUCCCUUAUGAAUUAUUGAUCCAAAAGCCUUCAAGAAAAUAUAACCAAACUGAAUUCAUGAGCAUAUUGAAAGGAUUAUACACCAUGGCCAAGUGGGAUUUAUUCCUGCAAUGUGAAGAUGCUUCAACAUAUGAAAAUCAAUCGUGAAAUACACCUAUUAACAGAAUGCAGAGGGAAAAAUUACAUGAUCAUCUAAAUUAAUGCAGGAAAAGCAUUUGACAAAAUCCAAUGCCCUUUCAUGGAUAAAAACACUCAACAAACUAGAAAUAGAAGAAAACUACUCAACAUAAUAAAGGCUAUAUAUGAAAAACCCACAGCUAACAUCACACUCAGUGGUGAAAGACUGAGAGCUUUUCCUCUAAAAUCAGAAACAAGACCAGAAUGUUAAUUUUUACCAUUUCUAUUCAACAGAGUCUUGAAAGUUCUAGCUUGUUUUAGUCAGUUUGGGCUGCUGUAACAAAAUGCCACAAAUCAGGUGGCUUAAACAACAGACAUUUAUUUCUCACAGUCCUGGAGUCUGGGAAAGCUAAGAUCAAAGGCAAUAUGGGUCCUGGUGAGAACUCUACUUUUGGUUUGCUGAUCGCCUCCCCCUUGCUGUACCCUCACUUUGCUGAAAGAGAGAGAUCAUCUCUCUUGUGUUUUCUUUUUUUAAAAAAAUAAGGGUAUGAAUCUCAUUCAUGAGGACUCCUCUCUCAUGACCAGGUUACCUCCCAAAGGAUCCAUUUCCAAAUAUCAGCAGUUUGAGGAUUAGGGCUUCAACAUAUGAAUUUGACAGUGGGGGCAGGGGAGCAUUCAGUCCAUAACAUAACCAUAGCAAUUAGGCAAGAAAAUGAAUAAAAAUAUUCAAACUAGAAAGGAAAAAGUAAAAUCAUAUCUAUUCACAGAUGGCACGAUUUUAUAUGUAGAAAACCCCCAAAACUUCAUACAGACACACACACACACACACACACACACAGAGCAAAAGAGAGAGACAGAGACAGAGAGAAGCAAAAACUGUUAGAACUAAUAUGCAAUUUCAGCCAAGUUGCAGAAUACAAAAUCAACACACAAAACCCAUUUGCUUUUCUAUACACUUACAAUAAACAACCCAAAAAGGAAAUUAAGAAAAAAACUUCAUUUACAAUAGUAUUGAAAAUAAUAAACUACUUAGGAGUUAACCAAGGAGGUGAAAAACUUGUACUGAAAACUAUAAAACAUUGUUGAAAGAAAUUAGAGAUAAAUACAGAUACAUCCCAUGUUCAAUUGUCAUAUUUUAAAGAUGUCACUACUCCCCAAAGGGGUCUAUAGAGUCAAUACAAUCCCUACCAAAAUAUCAACAAUUAUUUUUUGCAGAAAUAAAAAAUUCAUACUAAAAUUCAUAUGGAAUCUGAAAGGGACUUUAUAUUGCCCCAACAGUCCAGAAGAAAAGACCAAAUUUGGAGUACUCACACUUCCUGAUUUAAAAACUUACUACAGGGCUUCCCUGGUGGCGCAGUGGUUGAGGGUCCGCCUGCUGAUGCCGGGGACACGGGUUCGUGCCCCAGUCUGGGAAGAUCCCACAUGCCAUGGAGCGGCUGGGCCCCGUGAGCCAUGGCCGCUGAGCCUGCGCGUCCGGAGCCUGUGCUCCGCAACGGGAGAGGCCACAGCAGUGAGAGGCCCGCAUACCGCAAAAAAAAAAAAAAAAAAACUUACCACAAUACAAAUUUACAGAAGUCAAAGCAGUGUGGUACUGGCAUGAAGACAUAUGCAUAGACCAAUAGAUGAGACAGAGAGCUCAGAAAUAAGCCCACAAAUAUAUGGUCAAAUGUUUUUUGACAAGUAUACUCAAACCAUUCAAGGGGAAAGAUGUUAUUUUCAACAAAUGGUGCUGGGAAAACUGGGUAUCCAUAUACAAAAGAAUGAAUUUAGACCCUUACCCAACACCAUAUACAAAAUUAACUCAAAAUUUCAUGACAUUAGAUUUGGAAUAUCUUGGAUAUGACACCAAAAUCACAGGCAACAAAAGAAAAAAUACACAGAUCGGAUUCCAUCAGAAUUUAAAACUCUUUGCAUAAAACACUAUCAAUACAGUAAAAAGGCAACCCACAGAAUGAGAGAAAAUAUUUGCAAACCAUAUAUCUGAUAAUGCAUUACUAUCCAGAAUAUAUAAAGAAUGCCUAAAACUCAACAACCAUAAAAAACAAACAACACAAUUCAAAAAUGGGCAAACGUCUUGAACAGACAUUUCUCCAAAGAAGAUAUACAAAUGGCCAAUAAAGUUCAACAUUACUAAUCAUUAAGGAAAUACACAUCAAAAUCACGAGAUACCAUGUCACAGCACUAGGAUGACUAUUAUUUUAAAACCCCAAAAUACAGAAAACAACAAGUGUUAGUGGGAAUGUGGAGAAACUGGAACUCUUUAACACUUUCGGUGAAAAUGUAAAAUAGUGCAGACGCUUUUACAUUCUGUGUAAUUACAUUUAAACACAGAAUCACCAUAUGAUCCAGGAUUCCACUUCUGAGUAUGUACACGAGGGGAUUGAAAUCAGGGACUUGAACAGAUAUUUGUACAUCCAUGUUCAUAGCAGCAUUAUUCCCAAUAGCCAAAAGGUGGAAACAACACAAAUGUCCACCAACAGAUGAAUGGGUAAACAAAAUGUGGUAUAUUAUGCACUCGAAUGAUAUUUAGCUUUAAAAUGAAAUGAAAUUCUGAUAUAUGCUGUAACAUGGAUGAACCUUGAAGACAUUGUGCACAGUGAAAGAAACCAGAAACAAAAGGAUAAAUAUUGCAUGAUUCAAUUCACAUGAAAUGUCCAGAAUAGGCAAAUCUAUACAGACCAAAAAUAACUUAGUGGUUGCCUCAGGUUGAGGAGCGGGAAUGAGGACUGACGGCUGGUGGGUACUGAGUUUCUUUUAGGUAAUUAGAAAUAUUCUGAAAUUAGAUUGUGAUGAUGGUUGCACAAUUGUCUGAAUAUAUAUACUAAAAACCAUUGAAUUUUACACUUUAAAAGGGUGAAUAUUAUGGCAAUAAAUUGUAUCUCAAUAACGCUGUUGGGGGAAAUGCUGAGAAGAUUUAAAGAUGACACAAAUAAAUUUUAUACAUAUACAAUUUCAGUAGAGUGACAGAAGUCAGUUCCUGGAUCCCUUCCCGCACUCAGAUCAGCUCCUCUCAUCCACCCCUAGUUUCAGCCUUGUCCUACUUGUUCUUAUUUUUUCCUUUGCUCAGGCCACAAAUAAUUCAUUUUUCUUUUCUUUCUGUUGGUAGUUAGACACCAUCCUUUCCAACUCUUGGGAUUUUUUAACUCUGAAACUCAGCUAAGGGCUAAUGCUAGGGUUUCCUGUAUUACCCUCUUCCUUGCUAGGCAGAGUUGCUCCUUGGGUAGCUACUUCUGCUCUGGACUUCGUCAGAACUGGUUUUGAAUUCCAGCUCCUCCACUAGUGAUGAGCUGUAUAAACUUGGGAGAUUUAUUAAAUAUUUUAAACUUGGCUUCCUCAUCUGCAAAAUGAGGACAUAAUACCUGUAUUAAGUUUCUACGGUUUGUGAGAAUCAAAGGAUGUAAUGCAUCUGAAGCACUUAGCAGAGUCCCUGGGACAUCUUAGUGCUUAGUAAGUGCUUUUAUGAUUUGAUUUUCUAAAGUGGAACACUUUCUUCUUUUGUUUUUUACAGUGUCACUGCCAAUCAUAACAAAACUAAUCACUACAGAAAAAAUGAAAUGAGGUAACAACAAAUAAUGAAUGUAAAGAAAUUACAAAACUUACGAAGUUCCUGUAGUGUAUUAAAACAAAACUUUUCACUCUAUAAUUUGACUCAUUCAACAAACGUGGUGGUAGGCAGAAAAAUGCUCUCCCCCCAGACAUGUCCACAAGCUAAUCCCUGGUGUCUGUGAAUAUCUUACCUCAAAUGGCAAAACGGGCUUUGCAGAUAUGAUUAAGGUUAAGAUGGGGAGAUUAUCCUGGCUCAACCCUUAAAAGUGGACGAUGACAAAAGAAGAGUGAGUUGGAAAGAUGCAGUGUGAAAAGUGCCAUUUCUUUAAAGAUGGAGGAGGGGGGACAAGAGCCCAGGAAUCCCAUGGCCUCUAGAAGCCAGGAAUAGCUCUCAGAUUACAGUCAGCAAGAAAACAUGAGCCUGCAUCCUACAACUGCAAGCAACUGGAUUCUGCCAGCAAGCCAAAUUAGGAGGAAACAGAUUUCCUCUACAACCUCCAGAAAGGAAUGUAGACUUUCUAAUACAUUGAUUUUUUUCUAGUGAGAACCAUGUCAGAUUUCUGGCCUACAGAACUGUAAGCUAAUUAAUUUGUGUUGUUUUAAGUUAUUAAGUUUGUGGUAAUAUUAGGACAGAAACUAAUACAAAAUAUUUAUUGAGUGCAAGGCACAAGGUCAGAGUGGGUUGAGGGGAGUGGGGAAGGAUACAGGCAGAGACAUGACCUUCAUGGAGUUUACCAUCUGGCUAGGGAAAGAAAUACUAACUAAAUAAUCACAGGUGCCAAAAUGGGAUAUUUAAUGUGUUUUGAAAGCAGAGUAGGGGAUCUAACCCAGCUGGAGGAUACAGGAAAUUCAUGAUAUUUCAGGGAGACUUAAAAUACGACAACAGGGAACUUCAAAGACUUGUGUUCUCAGCCUUUAUUUCUGAUAGUGGAGAUCAUCCCCUCACCCUCUGUCCUUGGAUAAAGCCUUCCAGCACCUUUCUUCUAAGGCUUCUCUCCCCAACUGGAAGAAGCCAUCAACAUAAUCUGCUUCUCUGCGGACCUUCAACAAGUUCACUAGACCCCUGUUAGCCCACUAAUGAUUUCCUUUAUGGAACUUCAUUUAUCAGGUUGGGAAUACUAAGACCUCAGAUUUCAGCUAUAAAACGUUGGGAAAUUAGUCAGUAACACCCAGAGCCAAGUGUUAGAUUUGGAAUAGGAGGACUUUCUCUUCUUUUCUCAUGAGAUAUCACUUUGAGAUGAACAAAGUUGAUCUUGGCCAUAGUUUUUACUUUGUUUUUGUUUGUUUGGUUUGGUUUGGUUUGUAAUAGUCUGCCUAAAGAUCAGAAUAAGGUGGAUAAUACUUUUUAAAAUAAACAUUUUAUUUUAGAAUAGGUUUAGAUUUAUAGAAAAGUUGCAAAGAAAGGGCAGAAACUUGCUCUGUCUUUCCCCAUUGUCUUUUAUCUCUCUAUCUAUUUAAUUUUUAUUGACGUAUAAUUGAUGUACAAUAUUAUAUGUUACAGGUGUACAACAUAGUGUUUCACAAUUUUUAAAGGUUAUACUCCAUGUAUAACUAUAUUCCCUGUGUUGUACAAUAUAUCCUUGUAGCUUAUUUUAUGCCAAUAGUUUGUACCUCUUAAUCCCCUAACCCUAUAUUGCCCCUCCCCUCUUCCCUCUCCCCUCUGGUAACCACUAGUUUGUUCUCUAUAUCUGUGAGAUGGCUUCUUUUCUGUUAUAGUCACUGCUUUUUUUUUUUUUUCGGUACGCAGGCCUCUCACUGUUGUGGCCUCUCCCAUUGUGGAGCACAGGCUCCGGACGCGCAGGCUCAGUGGCCAUGGCUCACGGGCCCAGCCGCUCCGCGGCAUGUGGGAUCCUCCUGGACCGGGGCACGAACCCGCGUCCCCUGCAUCGGCAGGUGGACUCUCAACCACUGCGCCACCAGGGAAGCCCUUUUUUUGUUUUUAAUAACCUUGAAAGUUUUGAGGAGUAUUAGUGAGAUAUUUGUAGAAAUGUUCCUCAGUUUGGGUUUGUCUGAUGUUUGCUCAUGGUUAGACUAUGGUUAUGGGUUUUUGGAAGGAAGAUCACAGAGGUGAAGUACCAUUCUGAUCAUAUUAGGGUUACAUGUUAUCAAUGAGACUUACCAGUGAUGGUAACCUUGACCACCUGGCUGAAGUAGUGUUUUCCAGGUAUCCUUACUGUAAAGUUACCCCUACCUUGUCCUUAUUCUCCUUGGAAGCAAGUCAUCAAGCAGAGCCCAUACUCAAGAGGAGUCUGGGGCAGGGAGGAAGGAUUAAGCAAUACCUCUUGGAAGGCAAAGUAUCUACAUAAAUUAUUUGUCAUUCUUUUAUAUAUAAGAUCCCUUUCUUUCUUUCUUUCUUCAUUUAUUCACUCAUUCAACCACUUACUUAUAUCAGUAUGGACUCAUGGAUGUUUAUAGUCCAAUACUAUGUUAUUUAUUUUGUUGCUCAGAGUUUUCCAAAUUUUGCCAUUCGGAGCUCUUUCAACUUGGCUCUUGUGUCCCUUUGACAUGAUUGAAUCAUUUUGUUUCUUGAGUACUUCCUUUACUGCUGGCACUACUAGAUGCUCCAGUCUCACCUUGUAUUUUCCCUGCCACAGACUUAGCCUUUUCUCCAAAGAGCCCUUGUUCCUUUUAUCAGAGAAUGGUGUUGUUAGAAAUGAAGAUCUGAGUAUGCUCAUUGCUACUAUGGUCCCACUGCUUCUAGGCCCUCUUAGUAGACAGAGUUAGGACAUAUAUGGUAUAUAUAUGUGUAUAUAUAUAUAUAUAUAUAUAUACACACACAUACAUACACUAACCCAUGUAUAUACACAAAUAUCUAUAAUUUCUUUAUCUGUCCAUCUAUGUCUGUGUUAACCUAAACAUGAGCUCAUUCUGAUGUCUCUAACUCUAACCUAGUACCACAUAGCUCAUUCUAGGGAGUAAUAAUUUGAAAAAAUGUUUCCAUAAAUAUCAGUUUCAUCAAUUCAAUUAUAAUUUUACAUAUAGCACUAUGGGCAUCACCUUUCUCUCAAAACCUUCCUGUGACUUGCUAUUGCAUACAGACUCAAAUAGCAAUUCUCAGCUUAUAUACCUAUCUUUUACAACUUUAUUGACAUAGGCGUAAUUGAUAUACAAUAAAUUGUACACGUUUGAACUGUAUAAUUUGUUGUUUUGCCUCUGAAACCAUUGCCACAAUCAAGUGAGUAAAUAAAUUUAUCCAUCAUCCCCAAAAGUUUCUUCAUGAACCUUUUAGUAAUUUCUCUCUCAUUCCCCUCUCUGUAUACCUUCCAUCCCCAGGCAACCACUGACCUGCUUUCUGUCACUAAAGAUUAGUUAGUACCUUCUAGAAUUUUAUAGAAUCAUGAGUUUGUACACUUUUUUGGUCUGUCUGCCUUCACUUUGCACAGUUAUUUUGAGAUUCAUCCAUAUUGUUGCAUGUGUCAUUAUUGAUUUCCUUUCUAUUAUUGAGUACUAUUCAACUGUAUGGAUAUACCAAAGUUGUUUAUCCAUUCACCUGUUGGUGGACAUUUAGAUUGUUUUCAGGUUAUGGCUCUUACACAUAAAGCUGUCAUAAAUAUUUAUGUAUAAUCUUUGUAUAAACAUGGCUAUAUUGUAUGGUAGGUGUACGUUUGAAUAUGUUUGACUUACAUUCCCACCAAAAGUGUACGAGAGGUCCAGUUGUUCCACAUUUUUACCAACACCUACUUUGGUCACUGUCUGUAAUUUUAGACAUUCUAAUAGAUGUGAAGUGGUAUCUCAUUCCUUAAUGACAUAUGAUACUGAACAUGUUUUCCUGUGCUUAUUUUCUAUAUGUUAAUCUGCUUUGUUAAAAUGUCUAUACAAAUUGAACAUUUUGAUAGGGUAGUUUAUUGUCUUAUUAUUGGGCUUUGAGAAUUAUUUAUGUAUUCCAGAUACAAGGUGUUUUUUUUUUUUCUUAAUUGGGGUAUAGUUGCUUUACAAUGUUGUGUUAGUUUCUGCUGUACAACGAAGUGAAUCAGCUGUAUGUACACCUAUAUCCCCUCCCUCUUGGACCUGCCACCCCCCAUCCCGCCCACCUACAUCACCACAGAGCACCAAGCUGAGUUCCUGCUCCAUACAGCAGGUUCCCACUAGCCAUCUGUUUUACACAUGGUAGUGUAUAUAUGUCAAUCCCACUCUCCCAAUUUAUCCCACCUCCCCUUCCUACACCCCUUGUCCACACGUCUGUUCUCUAAAUCUGCGUCUCUAUUCCUGCCCUGCAAAUAGGUUCAUCUGUGCCAUUUUUCUAGAUUCCACAUAUAUGCAUUAAUAUUUGUUUUUCUCUUUCUGACUUACUUCACUUUGUAACAAAGGGAACCCACUUGCACUGUUGGUGGGAAUGCAAAUUGAUACAGCCACUGUGGAGAACAGUAUGGAGGUUCCUUAAAAAACUACAAAUAGAACUACCAUAUGACCCAGCAAUCCCACUACUGGGCAUAUACCCUGAGAAAACCAUAAUUCAAAAAGACUCAUGUACCAAAAUGUUCAUUGCAGCUCUAUUUACAAUAGCCCAGAGAUGGAAGCAACCUAACUGUCCAUAAUCGGAUGAAUGGAUAAAGAAGAUGUGGCACAUAUAUACAAUGGAAUAUUACUCAGCCAUAAAAAGAAACGAAAUUGAGCUAUUUGUAAUGAGGUGGAUGGACCUAGAGUCUGUCAUACAGAGUGAAGUAAGUCAGAAAGAGAAAGACAAAUACUGUAUGCUAACACAUAUAUAUGGAAUUUAAGAAAAAAAAAUGUCAUGAGGAACCUAGGGGUAAGACAGGAAUAAAGACACAGACCUACUAGAGAAUGGACUUGAGGAUAUGGGGAGGGGGAAGGGUAAGCUGUGACAAAGCGAGAGAGAGUCAUGGACAUAUAUACACUACCACACGUAAGGUAGACAGCUAGUGGGAAGCAGCCGCAUAGUACAGGGAGAUCAGCUCGGUGCUUUGUGACCACUUGGAGGCGU